UACGAAGGGUGCAAGCGUUAAUCGGAAUUACUGGGCGUAAAGGGUGCGUAGGCGGUUCGUUAAGUCUGUCGUGAAAUCCCCGGGCUCAACCUGGGAAUGGCAAUGGAUACUGGCGGGCUAGGGUGUGUCAGAGGAUGGUGGAAUUCCCGGUGUAGCGGUGAAAUGCGUAGAGAUCGGGAGGAACAUCAGUGGCGAAGGCGGCCAUCUGGGACAACACUGACGCUGAAGCACGAAAGCGUGGGGAGCAAACAGG
rnacentral:rRNA from 1 species